GGGAGGGUGCGGAGGACGGCCAAACGGCAGGCUGCGCCCCGCCCCCUCUUAAAGGGGAAAGCACUGUCAAGCCCGCCUCUUUGCUUAAUGUCUGAAUGGGACUUGAGAGGGUAGGUUGUCGGCUCCUUCCUUCCGUCUUUCCCACAGGGACGGGGAAUCUCGGUCCAACUCCCUCGGCCCGGUGUUACCCACACUUUCCCCAUCAGGUGGAUCUGGAGCGGCAACUCGCGGGGCUUUAAAAGAGCAGCAGGAGGCCGGCCGCUUUUCGCUACAACCUGGAGUAAGGCCAGCGGGAACUACGCGACCCAGCGUGCAGCGGGCGCGGCUCCCGGCAUGCUCGGCGGCCGUGUUCCCGCCGAUCCGCCGCCGCUCGCCCGGCCGUCGCCUCAGCGCUAGCCGCGGGCCCCGGCCCUCCUCCUGCGGCGGCUUUCUGGCUCACCGAGCGCCGGGAGGGGUGGGGGUGGGGGUGCUGGUCGCCGAGAUACCUUGGCAUGAUAUCCUUUGGUCACAGAAAUGUCAUCUUCGGGGAGAAGACUUUGAAGAAAUCCCUGAAAGUGACAGUAGAAAUGUUUUCUUCUGGUAUGUGGCAAAAGUACUAGAAUUAGAGGGAUAAAAAAAAAUCAGAUAUAAAAGAGAGGAACAUUGAUAUGGAAAAUAUUCGAGGCUGAAUACCUUUCUAUUACAGGAAAGUAGAAGAAUCAGAGAAAGGAAGGAUUAUUUAAGCCAUUAAUGAUAGUGGCACAACAUUAGAAUUAAAACUUAGGGACCAUGAUAUAUAAAUUAUAUCUAUGGAAACACGUGCUACUUUUACGCAUAAUGAAAAGACAGUUGUAAUACAGGUUGGGCUAAUAGUAUCUCUAACUUAAUCUUUGAAAAUUGGCAUGUUGAUUUAAAAAUAAUUUCAAAAUAGCUUAGUGACUUCCUUAUGUGAUAUUGUCUUAGAAUAUCCCUGACUUUUUGUAUUCAGGUAAAAUAUCUCUGGAAGAAUAGUCCAGCAAUAUUUACUGAUAGUAGUUACCUCUAAUUUAGGGCCUAGGGAUCUAGAGUUGGCAGGACACUUAGUUUUCACAAAUACCAUUUUGUACAUUUAAUUGAAAUGUUAUUAUUUGAGUAUAAUUGACAAAAUGUUAUGUUGGUUUUCGGUGUACAACACAGUGAUUCAGACAAAUUUAUGCAUUAGGCUAUGCAUUUAAUUUUUUGAUAUGUGUAUUACUUUAAUAAAAUCUGAACUUUAUUUUCAAUAUAAAAGAAAAAAACUUUCUGUACAUUCUGGAAUAACAAAAUGCAUAUGUACACUACCUCCUAGGAAAGGAGCAUAUAAUCUAGAUAUUUAGAUUUAGUUCGCUUUUGGGGGGGAGGGGCAGAGGGAGAGGGGGAGAGACAACCUUAAGCAGGCUCCACACUGGGACUCAAUCUCACAACUCUGAGAUCAUGACCUGAGCCUAAAUCAAGAGUUGGACGCUUAACUGAUUGAGCCACCCAGGUGGCCCCAAGAUUUAGUUCACUUUUAUGAGACUGUUUACUACUGCUGUUAAUAUUGUCUGCACUUGGCAUACAAGCAUUGUAAUUGCAUACAUAUUAUUAUAUAAAUUAAAACCAAAAAACACAAUUGAUAAAUUUGAAGCUUUGAAGUCUUCCCACUUGAGGAACUAAUCUGGGCAGUUUUGCAUCAGAAACACUUUUUUUGUGAAGGUUUUUUAGCAGUUUAAGAGAAGUUCCAUAUAACCUUUUUUUCAUUCAGUAAAGUGCUCAACUUGUUAAGAACUUUUUAUUUAUCUAUUUAUUUAUUUUUUUAAAGAUUUUACUUAUUUAUUUGACAGAGAUAGAGACAGCCAGCGAGAGAGGAAACACAAGCAGUGGAAGUGGGAGAGGAAGAAGCAGGCUCAUAGAGGAGGAGCCUGAUGUGGGGCUCAAUCCCACAACGCUGGGAUCACGCCCUGAGCCGAAGGCAGACGCCCAACCGCUGUGCCACCCAGGUGCCCCAAGAACUUUUUAAAUUUUUUGUGCAAUCUCAUUUGAGUACUUUAUGUUAAGGGGAAUAAAUUUUUUAUAAUUUUUAUGAAUUGACUGUUUGAAAAUUCAUAUUCAGGUCAAUGUUAUGUAUUAAUGCCAUCUAUAACUUCUUUUUUUUUUUAAGAUUUUGUUUAUUUAGGGGCACCUGGUUGGCACAGCGGUUAAGCAUCUGCCUUCGGCUCAGGGCGUGAUCCUGGUGUUGUGGGAUCGAGCCCCACAUCAGGCUCCUCCGCUAUGAUUUAUUUAUUCGACAGAGAUAGAGACAGCCAGCGAGAGAGGGAACACAAGCAGGGGGAGUGGGAGAGGAAGAAGCAGGCUCCCAGCAGAGGAGCCUGAUGUGGGGCUUGAUCCCAGAACGCUGGGAUCAUGCCCCGAGCCGAAGGCAGACGCUUAACCGCUGUGCCAUCCAGGCGCCCCUGCCAUCUAUAACUUCUGCCUACAAUCUCAGACGGGCCCUAUGAACUAUAUCUACCCAAGAAGGAAUCCUUCCCCGAAGACUUUUAUUUAGCUGUGGUCAUUUCUAUAGGAUUGAAAUUUAACAGAAGUAUCUAAUGAAGAGGAAUCUGAACAUAGCCAAUGAGAAAAGGAAAAGAUCGGGAGAAGAGUCCAGAUGUCAUAAAGCAAAGGGAGGGUGACAGGCAGGAAGCAGCUAUUACUUGCUCUGUUGCGUGACUCAAAGAACUCCAAGAAAUUGAUUUCAUCCCACUGAACAUUUCCUUCAAUUUGGGAUAGAAUUAAUUUUUUCUAAUAAAAUAGAUAUUAGUAGAUAUAUAACACACAGGAAAACAAUUGAGCCUAGUGACCUGAGCGGUUACAAUAUGUUAUGUAAGAGAUCUUCAGAAAGUUAUUCUUCAGUGUUCGGCGUGUUGCUUUCUAGAAAAGAAUUGGAGUGACAGCACCGCUAUUAUGAGUAAUGGCCUAUAGGGAGAGGGAAGGGGAAGCAAGAAAGGAGCAAUUAACAGGGAAAUGUGGUCAAAUGGAAAGAAUGAGAUAGAUUCAGGAUACUUCUAGGAGAUAAUAUCACCUGAUUUUAGUGACUGUAUUUAGAGGAUGGGAGAGAAGAGAAGUCACCUAGAAUUUAGGGUUGGGCCAUUAGCAGGUCAUGGCACUGCUACAUGAAAUAGAAACUCCAGGAGGCAAAGCAGGUUUGGGGGGGAAAGAUUUAAAUCAUGCAAGGAUGUAACUAGUUUUUACAUCUUUGCGCUCUGUUGAUCUUAGGCCUCCUCUGUCAAACCGCAUAAACCAUUGCUUCCUGGUAGUAGCCUGCUUGUUUGUAAAGAACAGCCAGCUAUAGACAUUGGAGGCUGGGAGUGUGUUGGGAAGAGUAGAAAGACUAGAGGAAAUGAUUUAGAGAUAGAGUGGUCUUAAACACGUCUUCCCACAUGCCAGGACUAGCUUUGUAUUCUUUCUAUUAGUAAGCCAAGAAUUGAAAUAGAUGAUAGCAAGGGCAUAUACAGACCCUCGUGAGGAAAAAGUCAAUGCAGCAGGUAUUUGCUUAUUCCUUUCAUGUCUCCAAGGGAGCCAUGAUUGGCCCUUGGCCGACCUUGGGAAUUUGGCCCUUGGAGUGUUUUUAUGUUAAUGAUGAUGACUUUGUUACAUACACCUGGAGCAAUUGCUUUGCACAAACGUGCACCUGGUUUCGUUGUUGGGGUCCUGAGUUUCAGUUGCCAUGGCUGAUUGCAUAGCAGAAUGUAUAUAUAUUAACAGACCUCCAUAAAAGUCUUGGACCCUGAAACUCAGAUGGGUUUCCAUGGGCAGAGGCAUUCCACAGGUGCUUAUAGUUUGCUGCUAGAGAGAGAAAGAGAGUUCCUGAAUAGCUUCAAAGGACUUUGGAAGUCUAUGCUGAACCUCUCUGGACUUCACCAGUGGGUCUUUUUCCCAUUGUUUGUGCUCUCUACCAUUUGCUGUAAUAAAUUUUAGUCAUGUGUAUGACAUGCUCUUGAAUCUGGUGAGUCCUUCCGGGAGCACCAAAUAUACAAAAUGCUGAAGAAUUUUAAAACCCAAUUUGUUCAUCCAAGUCUUGGUAGGAUUUAC
rnacentral:lncRNA from 1 species